rnacentral:pre_miRNA from 1 species
CAAGUACUCCCUCCGCCCGGAAUUACUUGUCAUCAAAAUGGAUGUGUCUAGAACUAAAAUACAUCUAGAUACAUCCAUUUNUCAUCAAAAUGGAUGUGUCUAGAACUAAAAUACAUCUAGAUACAUCCAUUUCAAUGACAAGUAUUUUCGGACGGAGGGAGUACAAG